GAGAGAUGGGGAGAAAAAGAGAGAAAUAGAAAGGCAAAACAAGUGAGGAAAUAGUGGGUGAAAGACAUCUUAGAUUAGGGUUUUUCGAGGCGAAAAACUCAUCUGAAAAGUUUCAAAAAUAUAAUCCGACAAGAUUCAAUCCCGAGGGCAAUUCAAAACGAUGGAAUGGCUGAAAUCAAGAUGUGAGACGAUCCAACAGUAGAGAUCGAUAUCCAAGGCUAUCCAAUGGUGGACAUCAUGCUCUAAGGUAAUCGAAUGGGAAAGGCCAAGAUCCAAAACAAUUCAAUGGUGGAGAUCACAAUCUAGCACAAUCAACGGUUGAAAGCACACUUCAUGGGUGAAC
rnacentral:lncRNA from 1 species